rnacentral:lncRNA from 1 species
AUACACAUCUGCAAAGAUCCAUCUUUUUUUAUUUUUUAUUUUUAAAAAUAAGAUAGGAGCUUCUAAUAGAGAUUUCAAAUGGCAUAUGAAGUUCUUAGCCAAGUUCUUGUCAAUGUACUCCUUUAGUACAAGCAACUUAUUUUACAAUAAGUUAUAGAUUUGUCCAAAUGGUGAUUGAGCUCAUUUUCUUAAAUCAAUUGAAUAAUCAUAAGAUCAAUGCUUUGAAAGAAUAUCUAUAUUUUUCUUUUCAAAAAUAUCUUGAAAAUUUUAAUACUGGCUAAGAAUACUACUUGACAUCUUUCUACCAUCAGAAAUGAAUGUGGCAUAUAUAGCAAAAGAUUACUCUUUUUUUACUGCAUACAUGAAAGUUCUUGUACCUAACAAUAAGAAUUUAGAUGCACUAGGCUUAUUUAUUUCUACUUCACCAUUGAUAUUUUA